AGAACGAACGCUGGCGGCGUGGAUAAGACAUGCAAGUCGAGCGCUAAUUACAGGGUAGCAAUACCUAGUGGCAGACGGGUGAGUAGCGCGUGGUCAACCUACCGUUGAGUGGGGGAUAACUAGCCGAAAGGUUAGCUAAUACCGCAUACGUCUCCGAGGGGCAUCCCUUGGUGAUAAAAGGAGCAAUCCGCUCGAUGACGGGACCGCGUCCCAUUAGCUAGUUGGUGGGGUAACGGCCUACCAAGGCAUCGAUGGGUAGCUGGUUUGAGAGAGCGACCAGCCACACUGGGACUGAGAUACGGCCCAGACUCCUACGGGAGGCAGCAGUGAGGAAUUUUCCGCAAUGGGCGAAAGCCUGACGGAGCGACGCCGCGUGUGGGAAGAAGGCCUUCGGGUCGUAAACCACUGUCGAAGGGGAAGAUAAUGACGGUACCCUUGGAGGAAGCCCCGGCUAACUACGCGCCAGCAGCCGC
rnacentral:rRNA from 1 species